rnacentral:snRNA from 1 species
GGAUGUGAGGGCGAUCUGGCUGCAACAUCUGUCACCCCAUUGAUCGCCAGUGUUGAUUCGGCUGAUCUGGCUGGCUAGGCGGAUGUCCCCUUCCUCCCUCACCAUUCCAUGUGCGUCCCUCCCGAAGCUGCGCACUCAGUCAAAGAGGACGGCCUUCCCUGAGUAGAGUUGGACUGGUCUUCGGUCGAGGGUAUACGAGUAGCUGCGCUUCCCUGCUAGAACCUCCAAACAAGCUCUCAAGGUCCACAGUGCCAGCACUGAGCCCCAAUGAUAACCCUGGAGGCAAUAAAAUAAAUUAAUUUAACUAUUCUUUUCAAGAAAGGUAACUUUUUUUU